GGUUUGAUCAUGGUCAGAUUGAACGCUGGCGGGAUGCUUUACAUGCAAGUCGAACGGCAGCACGGACUUCGGUCUGGUGGCGAGUGGCAGACAGGUGAGUAAUGUAUCGGAACGUGCCUAGUAGCGGGGGAUAACUACGCGAAAGCGUAGCUAAUACCGCAGCAUACGCCCUUCGGGGAAAGCGGGGACCUUCCCGGGCCUCGCACUAUUAGAGCGGCCGAUAUCGGAUUAGCUAGUUGGUGGGGUAACGGCUCACCAAGGCGACGAUCCGUAGCUGGUUUGAGAGAGUUGACCAGCCACACUGGGACUGAGACACGGCCCAGACUCCUACGGGGGGCAACGGUGAAAUUUUGGACAAUGGAAACCUGAUCCAGCCAUCCCGCGUGUGCGAUGAAGGCCUUCGGGUUGUAAAGCACUUUUGGCAGGAAAGAAACGGCACGGGAUAAUACCCCGUGCAACUGACGGUACCUACCCAGAAUAAGCACCGACAACACGUGCCAGCAGCCGGUAAUACGUAGGGUGCAAGCGUUAAUCGGAAUUACUGGGCGUAAAGCGUGCGCAGGCGGUUCGGAAAGAAAGAUGUGAAAUCCCAGAGCUUAACUUUGGAACGUUUUAACUACCGAGCUAGAGUGUGUCAGAGGGAGGUGGAAUUCCGCGUGUAGCAGUGAAAUGCGUAGAUAUGCGGAGGAACACCGGUGGCGAGGCAGCCUCCUGGGAUAACACUGACGCUCAUGCACGAAAGCGUGGGAGCAAACAGGAUUAGAUACCCUGGUAGUCCACGCCCUAAACGAUGUCAACUAGCUGUUGGGGCCUUCGGGCCUUGGUAGCGCAGCUAACGCGUGAAGUUGACCGCCUGGGAAAUACGGUCGCAAGAUUAAAACUCAAAGGAAUUGACGGGGACCCGCACAAGCGGUGGAUGAUGUAUGGAUUAAUUCGAUGCAACGCGAAAAACCUUACCUACCCUUGACAUGUCUGGAAUCCCGAAGAGAUUUGGGGAGUGCUCGCAAAGAGAACCGGAACACAGGUGCUGCAUGGCUGUCGUCAGCUCGUGUCGUGAGAUGUUGGGUUAAGUCCCGCAACAGGCGCAACCCUUGUCAUUAGUUGCUACGAAAGGGCACUCUAAUGAGACUGCCGGUGACAAACCGGAGGAAGGUGGGGAUGACGUCAAGUCCUCAUGGCCCUUAUGGGUAGGGCUUCACACGUCAUACAAUGGUCGGGACGGAAAUGCGCCAACCCGCGAGGGGGAGCCAAUCCCAGGAAACCCGAUCGUAGUCCGGAUCGCAGUCUGCAACUCGACUGCGUGAAGUCCAGAUCGCUAGUAAUCGCGGAUCAGCAUGUCGCGGUGAAUACGUUCCCGGGUCUUGUACACACCGCCCGUCACACCAUGGGAGUGGGUUUUUUACCAGAAGUAGUUAGCUAACCGUAAGGAGGGCGAUUACCACGGUAGGAUUCAUGACUGGGGUGAAGUCGUAACAAGGUAA
rnacentral:rRNA from 1 species